UGUUAGUGGAUCUCAUUUUUCUAAAGAAUUAAGCAUUCUAUACCAAAGCUAAUCCUCUUGUUUGCUAGUACAGUUUCAACAUAUUCUCACUUUCUCGGUCAAUGGAGUCAACCUUCUUUGUUUAGUAUAAGUCUGUUUUGCAACUUCUUCAUCCGCAUAGCUCUCUUUAAAGCUCUCUGAUAUUAUUAAUCCUCUCUCCAAUAAUACUAACUAAUGGAUUCUUCUUCUUCUUUUAUCCUUACCACUGUUGCUGCUGCAAUAGGCUUCUUCACGCUUCUUAGAAAUCUCAGAUGCCAUCAAGAAGAUGACAAAGAAAAUAAUUCUUCUUCUUCUACUUCAUCACCUCCGUCUUCUUCAUCGUCUUUGUCUCCUCCAUCGUCUUUGGAUCGCAUCUGGACACACCAUGUGUUUCCAAGUUUUCGAGGGGAAGAUGUCCGUAGAGACUUUCUUAGUCACAUUCAGAUGGAGUUUCAAAGAAUGGGAAUCACACCAUUCAUUGAUAAUGAGAUCGAGAGAGGACAAUCCAUCGGUCCUGAACUCAUUCGAGCAAUUAGAGAAUCCAAGAUCGCAAUUAUCUUGCUGUCAAGAAACUACGCUUCUUCGAGCUGGUGUCUUGACGAAUUGGCGGAGAUUAUGAAGUGCAGGGAAGAAUUGGGUCAAACAGUUUUGGCUGUUUUCUAUAAAGUGGAUCCAUCUGAUGUAAAGAAGCUGACCGGAGAUUUUGGAAAAGUCUUCAAAAAAACAUGUGCCGGUAAAACAAAAGAGCACGUUGGGAGAUGGAGACAAGCUUUGGCAAAUGUCGCCACAAUCGCCGGUUACCAUUCGACCAACUGGGAUAAUGAAGCUACCAUGAUUAGAAAUAUCGCUACUGAUAUAUCCAACAAGUUGAAUAAUUCUGCCUCAUCAAGUGAUUUUGAUGGGUUGGUUGGGAUGACUGCUCAUUUGAAGAAGAUGGAACCAUUGUUAUGCCUAGGCUCAGAUGAAGUGAGGAUGAUUGGGAUUUGGGGUCCUUCUGGGAUUGGGAAGACGACCAUCGCCAGAGUUGUAUACAACAAACUCUCUAGCAGUUUUCAACUGAGUGUCUUUAUGGAAUCUAUCGAAUCAAAAUAUACAAGACCAUGUUCCGAUGACUAUUGUGCCAAGUUGCAGUUACAACAGCAGUUUAUGUCUCAAAUAACCAACCAGAAUGAUAUGAAGAUUUCUCAUUUAGGUGUUGUUCAAGAUAGGCUAAAAGACAAGAAAGUUCUUGUUGUUCUUGAUGGUGUGGACAAGUCAAUGCAACUAGAUGCCAUGGCAAAAGAAACUUGGUGGUUUGGUCCUGGGAGUCGGAUUAUCAUCACAACACAAAAUCGAAAGAUUUUUAGGGAACAUGGGAUUAACCAUAUUUACAAGGUGAAUUUUCCAUCAACUGAUGAGGCCCUUCAAAUCUUGUGCACAUAUGCUUUUGGUCAAAACUCCCCUAAACAUGGUUUUGAAGAACUGGCUCGGGAAGUUACACAACUUGCUGGUGAACUUCCUUUGUGUCUUAGGGUUAUAGGCUCGUAUUUUCGAGGAAUGUCUAAGCUGGAGUGGACGAAAGCACUACCAAGGUUAAGGAGUAGCCUUGACGCUGAUAUUCUUAGCAUUUUGAAGUUCAGCUAUGAUGCCUUAGAUGACGAAGACAAAUAUUUGUUUCUUCAUAUAGCUUGCUUCUUCAAUCGUGAAUGGAUUGUGAAAGUGGAAGAGUAUCUUGCAGAGACGUUCUUGGAUGUGAGUCAUCGGCUUAAUGGCUUAGCUGAAAAAUCGCUCAUAUCUUUGAAUAGGGGAUAUAUAAACAUGCAUGAUUUGCUAGUCAAACUAGGUAGAGAUAUUGUCCGUAAACAGUCUAUUCGUGAGCCUGGACAACGACUAUUUUUGGUUGAUGCACGAGAAAUUUGUGAUGUACUCAACCUUGAUGCGAACGGUAGUAGAAGUGUUAUGGGCAUAAAUUUCAACUUUGGUGAGUAUAGGAUCAAGGAAAAGUUACAUAUAAGUGAGAGAGCCUUUCAAGGAAUGUCUAAUCUCCAAUUCUUAAGAUUCGAAGGGAAUAACAAUACAAUACAUCUACCGCACGGUUUAGAGUAUAUAUCUCGUAAACUUCGAUUACUACACUGGACUUAUUUUCCGAUGACAUGUUUGCCUCCUAUUUUCAACACGGAGUUCCUGGUUGAACUACACAUGCGUUACAGCAAACUUGAGAAGUUGUGGGAAGGAAUUAAACCGCUUCCAAAUCUCAAGUGGAUGGAUUUGUGUUGGUCUCUCCUCUUAAAGGAGCUUCCUGACCUCUCAACUGCCACCAAUCUUCAGGAAUUGAAUCUGAGUGGUUGCUCCAGCCUGGUGAAGCUCCCCUCCACUAUUGGGUAUACCAAAAAUCUCCGAAAGUUAUAUCUCGAUGGAUGCUCAAGUCUGGUGGAGCUCCCUUUUUCUAUUGGGAAUCUCAUCAAUCUAAAAGUAUUGAAUCUUAGCAGUUUAUCAUGUCUAGUAUCACUCCUACAGAUUCCAGAUUCCAUCUCUCACAUAGAUGCAGAAGAUUGUGAGUCCCUGGAGAGACUAGAUUGCUCCUUUCACAAUCCAAAUAUUUGCCUCAAAUUUGCUAAGUGCUUCAAACUGAAUCAAGAAGCCAGAGACCUCAUCAUCCAGACACCAACUAGUGAAUAUGCGGUCUUACCCGGCAGAGAAGUGCCUGCAUACUUCACUCACCAAUCUACUACUGGAGGUUCCUUGACAAUCAAGCUGAACGAGAAGCCUCUUCCUACAUCCAUGCGGUUUAAGGCUUGCAUUUUGCUGGUUCAUAAAGGUGAUGAUGAGGCUCGUGAUGAUAAAAACUGGAUGGAUGAAAAUGGCUGCUAUGUUAGUUGUAAAAAAAGUAAGCAUUAUUUAUAUCCAGUUUUAGCAGAGCAUAUGUACGUAUUUGAAGUCGAAGCAGAUGUGACUUCCAGCGAGCUUGUCUUUGAGUUCAAGAUCGACAGUAAAAAUAAGAAAUGGAAGAUAAAAGAAUGUGGGGUAUUCCAACUCUCAGAGGUUCCUUGAUGAAUCUUCAAAAAGUGAUUUCUGAAACACCCUUGAUGAAACUGAAGUCUGUGGUGAAGUAAUGGAAAUAGUCACUACACAAUUCAAGAGCAUAAUGAGAGAAGCAAAAAGUUAGGUUUUUCGUCGGACGGUGAGCAAUUACGGUGAGCAAAGUAUCGUCAAGCCGCCCAUCAGGCUGUCACCAACGUACACUAAUUUACGAGAUCUAAAUUCAACAGUGUUACCUGUUGCUGCUGAACUUUUUUUGUGCAGAACCCACAGGUCUUUUACUCGUUGUUGCCGCUACAGCUCCUAUGGAGCGGCUAAGAAAAAAACUUCUUUGCACCAAAGAUACUACUGCUCCUAUGGUCUGAAAGUCUUAAUUUUUUAUGCUUAUAUUGAGUUCUUUGAUUGCCUUUGUUGAUGAUGUGAAGAUGUUUUUGUUCUUUUUGGGAUGUGUUUAGAUCAAACGAAAGACUUGAAACUUCUCUUAGAUCUUUGAAAUCUGUGUUCUAAGAGCAUCGAACCCAGCGGUGGCAUCGGUUAUCUUCUUCCUCCUCAGGUCUUUUGCUCGUUGCUGCCGCUGCAGCCGUUAUGGAACGACCAAAAACCUUCUUUGCACCAAUGAUAACUCUAAGUCAAGUGUUAUGAAAGUAUAGAUUUUUAAAGCUUUUUAUAAAGUUCUUUGAUUGCUUUUUGUUACUGACAUGAAGAUGUUGUUCUGUUUGGGAUGUAUAGAUAGUUCAAAUAAAGGAGUUGAAACUUCUCUCA